rnacentral:rRNA from 1 species
UGGGGAAUAUUGCACAAUGGGCGCAAGCCUGAUGCAGCCAUGCCGCGUGUGUGAAGAAGGCCUUCGGGUUGUAAAGCACUUUCAGCGGGGAGGAAGGCGUUAAGGUUAAUAACCUUGGCGAUUGACGUUACCCGCAGAAGAAGCACCGGCUAACUCCGUGCCAGCAGCCGCGGUAAUACGGAGGGUGCAAGCGUUAAUCGGAAUUACUGGGCGUAAAGCGCACGCAGGCGGUCUGUCAAGUCGGAUGUGAAAUCCCCGGGCUCAACCUGGGAACUGCAUUAGAAACUGGCAGGCUAGAGUCUUGUAGAGGGGGGUAGAAUUCCAGGUGUAGCGGUGAAAUGCGUAGAGAUCUGGAGGAAUACCGGUGGCGAAGGCGGCCCCCUGGACAAAGACUGACGCUCAGGUGCGAAAGCGUGGGGAGCAAACAGG